UCGAGAUAGGGCCUUCGGGCUCGACCUCCAACCCUUUAUCUACCUUCCUAUGUUGCCUCGGCGGUGCCGUCCGGGCCCACGCCCGGCCGUCCGCACUCGUGCGCUCGCGCGCCCGCCAGAGGACCGUACAAACCCUGCUCAUCGUAGACUUCUGAGUGAGAAACACAAUAACUUCA
rnacentral:misc_RNA from 1 species